rnacentral:rRNA from 1 species
UACGUAGGGUGCGAGCGUUGUCCGGAAUUAUUGGGCGUAAAGAGCUCGUAGGCGGUCUGUCGCGUCUGCUGUGAAAUCCCGAGGCUCAACCUCGGGUCUGCAGUGGGUACGGGCAGACUAGAGUGCGGUAGGGGAGAAUGGAACUCCUGGUGUAGCGGUGGAAUGCGCAGAUAUCAGGAGGAACACCAAUGGCGAAGGCAGCUCGCUGGGACGGUACUGACGCUGAGACGCGAAAGCGUGGGGAGCAAACAGG